GCCCACAAUUAUGCAGCACAUGCUAAUAAGUGCUGCAAACACACAGCUCUUUCAGGCAGAAACAUUUUCAGAAAUGAUGUGGUCAGAUACUCACAACCUUAAUUUAAUUUCUUUCCAGACAUAAGCAGGAAGAAAAAGGCUGAGAGGAUCACAAGGAAGGCAUUUGUAGAGCAGAUAGAGAUUCUUUCAGGACCAUGCUAUUUUUCAAGGAGACACCUGGAUGCUACACAAGUCCAGCAUACCUGCCAUGCCCUGAGCAUUAGCAAUAAUGAAUGUCAUGCUUUGAAAGCCAAAGAAAGCAGUGUCAGUGCCAAGCAUGAAGAUAGGACUGUUGGGUGCACUUCAUUGCCUGCAACAGCCCCCUGAAAGGCAAUCCUUGCCUCCCCAUGACCUCAGUGAUCUCUUCUGCCUCAGACUGAAAGAGUCUGCAGUGUUUUCCUGCCUGAAAAAAAAAGCUAAUUUGUGAAAGAUGGGAGUAAAGUUGGCUUGGAAAGCCUAACUCAUCAAUGGCAGAAAAAUUGCUUUAAGAUCAGGACAACAGUGCUAGAUAUCUGUUGGUUCUCUGAUAGUUCAUCAUGACAGCACAGGAAAAUUUUGAUCCAGCCUUGAAGCCUGACUAGUCACUAUUAAGCUGUCUUCUAUCUCUGUGCUUUUCCCUCCUGGUCUCCAGCACCAGCAUAAGCCCAAGAAGAGAGAGGGUUAGAUUUUACCCAGAGAACAGGGAAUCCUAAAGAAAAACUCCUCUGAGGAUGCAGCAGUAGCACCAUCUCUCCAAGCCACAAGGGACCCCGUUAUGUCCUAUCCAUGUGCCACGUGGCAGUGACUGCAGUAAAAAGCCCUGCACAGAACAUUUUAAGGAACUCAGUAUUUUCACCCCUGCUCAGGAAAAGCACCCAUUGAACUCAGCUGGAACAAAGACAAGGAGAAUAUGCCAUUCUGCACUGCCCAGGCUGAGAGGCAGUGUGAAACACAAAGCUGUGUUUCAUGUCAGGUUCAUACAGGCAAUGUGUGUAUUUGUGAUUGUGAGAUGUGUGGAAACCGACCAUGGGACAGUUAUAAAGAUGAAUUCUAAUAAUAACUGAGAAAAAGAAAGCAUGGAAGAAGCUAUCCUUUGUUUCAAUUAACCUUUAUACGUCUUAAGUUGAUUUAGGAACAUUUGAAUUAAAGCUUUAAGGAGGUUGCUGUUUGACAGGAACUUUCUGCUUGUAAGCCUUAAAGAGUUUUGCAAUAACAACCUUUUGAAGUAUAAUUUUAGAAUAUUGCUUGUAGUAAGGAUCUUUUGAAACUAUAGCUUUAGAAUAUAUAAAAAGGAAACAUGCAGCUUGAGAAAGGAAGAUGGACAUCAACUCAAGGACUAAUAGGUUCGACCGAGGGAAGCUGGACAUCACUGUUACGAGAUUUAUAGUCCUUGCAAUCAAAAGGUGCACCCACAUCCGGAAACUGGACUUCACCAGAUGAAAUACUCCUUCCUUCUUUCGGAAACCAGACCACCACCACCUGGGAUACUCCUUUUGGGAUGUACAUCCUGAGAAAAUAGUGUAUAGAAUUGUGACUUAAAAAUUGGGAAUAGAAACUGCUGAUGAGUAAAAAUUUGAAUAGAAACUGCUGAGAAAGCUGAUGAGUACCCCUAUAAAUACCUGUAAGCCUCAACUAUCGGUGUGCAGUUGGAGGGAAAACUUCCCCCACUGUACCCAGCGCUGUAUUGCUCAUACUUUACCAUAUUAAUUAAUAA